GAGAGAGAGAGAGAGAGUCUAGGGAGAAGUCAUGUGGUAGACCAGACAAGUGACAAGUAGCAACUUCCUUGCCUCUCCCCCUCAUUUUUCAAGUAUAUUUAGUGAGAAGAUACCAAGAUAGGCCAACCCAUGCUCUUGAGGAUUGAGCUUAAUGCUACGAAUGAGGAGACAGGCCAACAGAAAUCACUUCAAAGUACAUAUAUAAAACAUUGGAUGGGAUUAGUUCAAUUACAGAAUAUUGCACCAGGUAGAUUCCAAGAUCAUGUCGGUUCUGUCUUCUUCUUAAGAGCCUCGUACAUAGUAGAAUUAGUGUAAGCCUGUUUUCACACCAUUCACUACAGGGUUCAAAGUCAGUACCAUGAGAUUUUCAAAACGCUCUCUCUUUCUCUUUUUGGUUCUCUUUUACUGUUUGAUAUUUCUUGUUCAAGGGGAACCAAAGGCCAACAGAUUGGCGGUGGGCUCCGCAGGGACUUCUGCAAAUGGAAGAGUUGGGUGUAGCAUGGAAGUUGUCGAGUGCAAACAAGGAAAUGAGGGGCCAGAAGAUCAGAGUGUUUUUGAGAAUGAGGAUUAUAUCUACAGCAACUCUCUUCCUUAGAUAAAACACCUCCUUUUAAUGUAAAUUGCUUUGAAUGGAUCAUUCUGUAGCGUGUACUCCAUUCUUGUCUGUCUUUGUUUUUACUUAGAUUUGAGUAGUGCUGUCAAUUGAUUAAGACAAUUAAUCAUAUUUAAACUUGGUGUGA